rnacentral:rRNA from 1 species
AACGAACGCUGGCGGCAGGCCUAACACAUGCAAGUCGAACGCACCUUCGGGUGAGUGGCGCACGGGUGAGUAACACGUGGGAAUGUACCCUUUGGUUCGGAAUAACGUUUGGAAACGAACGCUAAUACCGGAUGAGCCCUGCGGGGGAAAGAUUUAUCGCCAAAGGAGCAGCCCGCGUCUGAUUAGCUAGUUGGUGGGGUAAAGGCCUACCAAGGCGACGAUCAGUAGCUGGUCUGAGAGGAUGAUCAGCCACACUGGGACUGAGACACGGCCCAGACUCCUACGGGAGGCAGCAGUGGGGAAUAUUGGACAAUGGGCGGAAGCCUGAUCCAGCCAUGCCGCGUGAGUGAUGAAGGCCUUCGGGUUGUAAAGCUCUUUCGCACGCGACGAUGAUGACGGUAGCGUGAGAAGAAGCCCCGGCUAACUUCGUGCCAGCCGCCGCAGUAAUAC